GAAGCACAAUUUAAAUUAACACAAGUAGAUCUUUGGUUGUAAAUACUCAAGUCUAUGAGAGGUCACUUAAUUAAAUUACAAACUAGAUGAAUAAUUUAACAAAUCAUGAAUGAAGUGUGGGACUAUGAAUGAAAGCAAGUUGUGAAAUGAAAAAAGAAAUGUCGAGAAUUAAGAGAUCGAGUUGCAGUUGAGGGAGGCGCGAGUUUAAAGGGCGCGAUUUAAGAGCGCAAUUUUCAAAUUCUACAAAUGGUUUUUUCUUUCUUUUGGUUUUACCUUUUUUAUUCACGUCUCGAUCAAUAAUACCGUCAAUGCUCCUCUAUGCCUCGAUUAUCCUAUUUUCAAAUCACUUUAUAAUUAACAAUAUUUUAUGUAAAAACCUGGUUAAUUUAUAAAAAUUAAAGGGGUAAGUUUAGGGGUUGAAUCAGCAAGAUGGCGUUGCUUUUUGGUUAAUCUGUGUUCGACUUUGAAAUUUGAAUUUAAUCUUCUUUACUCUUUGAAUCUAAUUAACGGCAGAUGGAGUGUUCUUUGUUUUAACCGAAAAUUUUAAAUCCAAUUUACAAUUGUUAGUGAAAACAUUAAUUUUAAUCCCAUUUUUAACCCACUUAAAUAAUUUCAGUCGUUAUUUUUCAAAGUGAAUACAACUUGGACCCAAAUCAUUUAUUUAAAGUGCUUAAUCUUUCUUGUGAAGGUUAUUCUGUGUACAUUGAAUGCUACAUCUACUUCAUCAUUAUCUCAGAAGCUACAUGAUGAGUGAAGAGGUGAGAUAAACUGGUUAAUAAGAUUAAUGAACCAUAAUAAUAGUUAUUGAAAUUAGAUGGUAAUAGAACUGGUCUGUAACUGAAAAAUUAUCCACACUUUUGUCAAAUGGUUUUAUGCUUACCUAAAGUUCGGGUUGGAUUGGCUAAAGCAAAGCGAACCAAAACAUUGGCUCCAGCACCUUCACCGAUGCCCACAAUCAGUCCAACCUUUAAGUGAUCAAGAACUGUAGGAAUCAGCUCUUCUCCUGAUGAGGAAACCAGAAAAAGAAUACAUUUUUGGUGAAAAAAUUAGACAGAACCAGAAACCAGAAAAGUAGCUUCAAAGGAUUGCUUUGUAAAUUUGCUUUUUGUCUCGACUGGGACAAAUAUUUACAAUUAAUUGUUUGAUUAGGUGUUUACUUGGAUUGUGUUCAACUCACCCAUUUGUUGAAUGCUAGGAAAAGUGAAAUCAUCUGGUAAAUCAUCAGCACCAUCCUCUUGUCCAGGAAUAUCAAGAUGAAUAAAAAUGGAUCGAGCCUUAAUCUCAGACAUACAGGGUUUCUCAACGAAA